rnacentral:rRNA from 1 species
UUAAGCUACUAAGAGUACAUGGCGGAUGUCUUGGCGUUAAGAGGCGAUGAAAGACGUUGUAGCCUGCGAUAUGCCUCGGGGAGCUGGCAAACAAGCUUCGAUCCGAGGAUCUCUGAAUGGGGAAACCCGGCCGCAAAUGCGGUCACCCGUACCCGAAUGCAUACGGUACGGGAGCGAACCUGGCGAACUGAAACAUCUAAGUAACCAGAGGAAAAAGAAUCAACCGAGAUUCCGUAAGUAGCGGCGAGCGAAAGCGGAUCAUCUUGCGUAUCGACACGAGCGGCCUGGAAAGGCCGACCAUAGAAGGUGAUAGUCCUGUAGUGUCGUGUGUAAGAGUGUCCUAGAGUAGCGUAGAGCUCGUGAAACUCUGCGUGAACAUGGGGGGACCACCCUCCAAGGCGAAAUACUACUUAACGACCGAUAGUCAACCAGUAGGGCGACUGAAAGAUGAAAAGUUCCCCGAUAAGGGAAGUGAAAUAGUAUCUGAAACCAUGUACUUACAAGCGGUCGGAGCCGUUCUUCGGAACGGUGACGGCGUGCCUUUUGCAUAAUGAGCCUACGAGUUACUUUAUCUAGCAAGGUUAAGUAUUUAAGAUACGGAGCCGUAGCGAAAGCGAGUCUGAAUAGGGC